GCGUUGACCACUGGUUCAAUCAUGCCACUGUCAGCCGAAAUCACAAGAAUCUUAUACGGCUUGAUCCACAGGGGGACUCGCUCCUGUUCCCAAAUGGACUGUGAGGAGACAGAGGUCUGAAGCUCCUUGCAGGUAGGGCCAGGAUCACAGCACUCACUGCUGCCACAGAGACCCUCCAUCAGGACUUCUUGAAAUAUUUAUUAAACUAUGACUUACUAUUCUCUACUUUCCUGAGACUUUAUUUAGCAGAUGUUCAAUAAAUAUUUUGAUUAAAUUUCCCUCA